UACGUAGGGUGCGAGCGUUGUCCGGAAUUACUGGGCGUAAAGAGCUCGUAGGCGGUCUGUCACGUCGGAUGUGAAAGCCCGGGGCUUAACCCCGGGUCUGCAUUCGAUACGGGCAGACUAGAGUGUGGUAGGGGAGAUCGGAAUUCCUGGUGUAGCGGUGAAAUGCGCAGAUAUCAGGAGGAACACCGGUGGCGAAGGCGGAUCUCUGGGCCAUUACUGACGCUGAGGAGCGAAAGCGUGGGGAGCGAACAGG
rnacentral:rRNA from 1 species